CGCGUAGGCGGUCUUGUCGGUCAGAUGUGAAAGCCCGGGGCUCAACCCUGGAAGUGCAUUUGAAACAGCAAGACUUGAGUACGGGAGAGGAGAGCGGAAUUCCUGGUGUAGAGGUGAAAUUCGUAGAUAUCAGGAGGAACACCGAUGGCGAAGGCAGCUCUCUGGACCGAUACUGACGCUGAGGCGCGAAGGCGUGGGUAGCGAACAGGAUUAGAUACCCUGGUAGUCC
rnacentral:rRNA from 1 species